rnacentral:tRNA from 1 species
GGGGGCGUAGCUCAGCUGGUUAGAGCGCUGCCCUGUCACGGCAGAGGUCGCGGGUUCGAGUCCCGUCGCUCCCG